rnacentral:rRNA from 1 species
AAUCUUCCGCAAUGGACGAAAGUCUGACGGAGCGAUGCCGCGUGAGUGAUGAAGGUCUUCGGAUCGUAAAACUCUGUUGUUAGGGAAGAACAAGUAUCGGAGUAAUAUGCCGGUACCUUGACGGUACCUAACCAGAAAGCCCCGGCUAACUACGUGCCAGCAGCCGCGGUAAUACGUAGGGGGCAAGCGUUGUCCGGAAUUAUUGGGCGUAAAGGGCACGCAGGCGGUCUUUUAAGUCUGAUGUGAAAUCUUACAGCUUAACUGUAAGCGGUCAUUGGAAACUGGGAGACUUGAGUGCAGAAGAGGAGAGUGGAAUUCCAUGUGUAGCGGUGAAAUGCGUAGAGAUAUGGAGGAACACCAGUGGCGAAGGCGACUCUCUGGUCUGCAACUGACGCUGAGGCGCGAAAGCGUGGGGAUCAAACAG